rnacentral:rRNA from 1 species
AGGGAGGGUUUGAUCCUGGCUCAGAUUGAACGCUGGCGGCAUGCCUUACACAUGCAAGUCGAACGGCAGCNCGGGGGCAACCCUGGUGGCGAGUGGCGAACGGGUGAGUAAUAUAUCGGAACGUGCCAAGUAGUGGGGGAUAACUAGUCGAAAGAUUAGCUAAUACCGCAUACGCUCUACGGAGGAAAGUGGGGGAUCGCAAGACCUCAUGCUAUUUGAGCGGCCGAUAUCUGAUUAGCUAGUUGGCGGGGUAAAAGCCCACCAAGGCGACGAUCAGUAGCUGGUCUGAGAGGACGACCAGCCACACUGGGACUGAGACACGGCCCAGACUCCUACGGGAGGCAGCAGUGGGGAAUUUUGGACAAUGGGGGCAACCCUGAUCCAGCAAUGCCGCGUGAGUGAAGAAGGCCUUCGGGUUGUAAAGCUCUUUUGUCCGGGAAGAAAUCCUUCAUGCUAAUACCGUGAGGGGAUGACGGUACCGGAAGAAUAAGCACCGGCUAACUACGUGCCAGCAGCCGCGGUAAUACGUAGGGUGCAAGCGUUAAUCGGAAUUACUGGGCGUAAAGCGUGCGCAGGCGGUUGUGCAAGACAGAUGUGAAAUCCCCGGGCUUAACCUGGGAAUGGCAUUUGUGACUGCACGGCUAGAGUGUGUCAGAGGGGGGUAGAAUUCCACGUGUAGCAGUGAAAUGCGUAGAGAUGUGGAGGAAUACCGNAUGGCGAAGGCAGCCCCCUGGGNAUAACACUGACGCUCAUGCGCGAAAGCG